rnacentral:rRNA from 1 species
UACGAGGGGGGCGAGCGUUGUUCGGAAUUAUUGGGCGUAAAGGGCGCGUAGGCGGUGUGGCAAGUCAGGUGUGAAACCUCCAGGCUUAACUUGGAGCUGGCAUCUGAAACUGCCGCGCUAGAGUGCGGGAGAGGAGAGUGGAAUUCCUGGUGUAGCGGUGAAAUGCGUAGAUAUCAAGAGGGAACACCUGAGGUGAAGACGGGUUGCUGGGCUGACACUGACGCUGGAGGCGCGAAAGACUAGGGGAGCAAACGGG